AGCACCCUGUCAAAACGGACCAAUCAGCUCUCUGUAAAAUGGACCAAUCAGCAGGAUGUGGGUGGGGCCAGAUAAGGGAAUAAAAGCAGGGUGCCCAAGCCAGCAGCAGCAGUAAGCCACUCUGGUCAUCUUCUGUAUUGUGGAAGCUAUGAUUUUUGCUCUUAGCGAUAAGUCUUGCUGAUGUUCACUCUUUGGUCCACGCUGUGUUUAUGAGCUGUAACACUGACCCCGAAGGUCUGCAGCUUCACUCCUGAAGUCAGCAAGACCACGAACCCACCAGAAGGAAGAAACUCCGGACAUAUCUGAACAUCUGAAGGAACAAACUCCGGACACGCCAUCUUUAAGAAGUGUAACACUCACUGCGUGGGUGUGCGGCUUCAUUCUUGAAGUCAGCGAGACCAAGAACCCACCAAUUCUGGACACACUAUGACAAAGUUUACCAUCAAAUAACAAUCAAGGGAAUCCCUUUUUCUUUGAUGAAGUGUCUCUUCAUAAUUAUAGAUAACAGGCAUGUGGAAUUUCUAAUAUCAAUGUAAAGAUAGGUCAUUGGCAGGUUCUAAAAGCAUUUUUUGGGUAGGAUGGAUGUCUCAAGCAAAGAGUUGGGAAAUGACAAACAGAAAUUGGAAUAUGGCCAAAGGAUACUGUUAAAAAAAAGAAAGGAUAAAAAUCGAUUGCUUAGCAGAAAAGUUGUACUGUUAAGAAGUGAAGUUUGUCAGCACGGAGUCUUUGUUCUGCUGAUGAGAUGAAGAGGGGAAGAUGAAGAAAAAGCAUAUUAGGAAAGCAAAGUCUUCAGCUGGCUUGAGAUAUGUGGGUCUGCCAGUCAGUUGAGCCUGACUUGGCUCUGGUAACCACCUCAGGAUAAUGAAGUUGAGCUGCUUCUGUAUGUGACUCACUUGAGUCUUUCUUAAUUGUCCAGUAAGGUCUUCAUCAUGUUAGCAAGCUGAGUGGCAAAGAAAAGGGAACAGUGGGCUGUUUUUCAUUCUUUCCUUCAACAAUUAUUUGUUGAGUUCCUACUGUAUACCUCCUAGGAUAGGGGAAAGGGAUUCAAUAGAGAUGUAAACUCUUAAAUGGAGUUUAAGACCUGCUAGUUAUAUGGAGAUUGAUUGAAUAAACAUUUUAAUGAUUCUAUAGUUAACUGCCAAGGUUAAGAAAGACAAAACUCUGUGAGACUAUAUACUAAAACAAUACUACUCGCAAGUUGGGGGACAAAGACAGAAUGCAGGUUAGUGAAGGCUUCCCAAAAAGAGUAACACUUGAGCUGAGGCCAUAAACAGUAGUUUUCUGAAAGAAGGCGGCUUGGUGAGAAAGAAAAACAGUCUAAGCAACCAGAACAUACGAAAAUUCAUUAGGAGAACAGAUACAAGGGAAAGACUAGUAGCAGUUGCAACAUUGUAGCCAUGGAGAGGUUAAAUCUCUGUAUCAGGCAUUAUUUGAAACAAGUUCAUCUUUAGAUGGAGGACACUAACAUCAUGCUAUUCUGGUCAUUACUUUCUAGGUUAUCAACUGUGCUUCUCAUUUUUUCUUGCAUAUCUGUCUUUACUUCAUUCCUUGAAUUUGAAGCACAGUAUUUUCUCCAGGAUGUCUUCUUAGUCAAAACUCAUAAACUAGAACAUUGAGGAGAGUAAGAAGAAUAGUCUAUUGAAGAUGGGAGAAGGUUGGAAAACAGUAAGAGGUAGAAAAAAGCCUGAUACUAGAUAGUGACAGAUUUUGGAAACUGGAACAGGAAAUUUGGACGUGAAAUUAUGGCAAUUAUAUUUUUUUCUCUAAAGGAGUGAAAAGAUAAAAGUAAUUUUUUAGGAAGUUCAUCUGAGUUUGAUACAAAGGAUUUAUUUACUUAAAAAAAUUGUAGUUCCUACAGUAAGGCAAACACUGAAUUAUCUUGUAAUGCUCAUUGGAAUAGCUAAGCAUUGAUUCUUAAUAUGUGGGCUGCAAACUAUGUAUUCCAGAUUACCCUGGAAAGUUUGUUGAAAUGAAGAUUCUGGGGCCCUAAUCUAAGUUUACUGAAUUAAAAUCUCUCAGAUGGAGCCUGAAACUCCACAAUUUAACAAGCGCCCCAGGUGAUUUGUGCCCAACAAAGAUAAAAAAUGAAUGGGUUGAAACUCAAGCAAAAGACAAUGAAGUUGGAGCAGCCAGCUGGACUGCUGUUUGAGUAAUCCAGUUGAUUACAACACACAGACUACAAUGGUUACCAUGGAGAUUCAAGGGCAAGGGUAAACCUGAGAACUAUUUCAAAGGAAACAUCAUAAAGAGGUAAAAGACUGGAUUUCAGAAAUGGAAGAGAGAAAAGAGACCAGGAGAACUAGGAUUGCUGCCUCCUGAGAGUCAGUUAGUGACCAAGAGUACUCAUUAGGCCUCUAGAUAUCAGGGAUAUUCUUGGCAGUGAGAGCAGAGAGAACAAAGCUAAAGGUGCUGAAGUAAGGUGACAGCGCUUUAAAGAAGAAGAAAAAAAAAAAGGAAAAAGAAAGAUAGCUACCAAGAAAAAAAGUGACCUGGUCUACAAAGAUGAAGAAACUGUCGAUUAGGGUGGAAUAAACUUAUCAUGCAAGAAGUUGGCAUAGAUACUCGUCUCACCUUAAAGGUGCUUUAAAAAUAAAGUGGGGUCAGGCAAGGCAGAUAGGUGGCAUAGCAGUUAAGCUCAAGCAGAGAUAAUGAACAGAAAUACCAGAGGAAUUAGGAUUAAAAGCAAUAAAGUCUUGAAUAUUGGCGAGAAAAGAUGAAGAAGAGAGUGUAUAAGGAGGAGUUCUCACUCCAAACAACAGUGGCAUGCGAAACCCAAGAGAUCAGACCUUGAAAGCUAUGCACUAAUAGGUUAUUUAGUUUUCAAAAUCUUAAAUUAAUAACAAUUGGCAAUAAAGCUCAUUAAAAUUC
rnacentral:lncRNA from 1 species